GCUGCCUCCUGUCCUGGCACUGUCUUCACUGCACCCUCCCUUGAGGUAUAUAUGGACAUUGAUGAGAUCCCCCUGAGCCUCCCCUUCUCCAGGCUGAGCAGUCCCAGCUAUCUCAGCCUCCCUUCCUGUCCCUUGAUCAUCUCGGUGUCCCUCUGUUGGAGUCUUUCCAACACAUCCCUUUGUACUGGUGGA